CUUCACAGAGAUAACAGGCCAGAUGGGCAUUGAGACAAGUGAACAGGCAGAUGGAAAACAGCAUGGUGAGUAAUACAGAUGGUGGGAAGAACAGGGUACUAUGGCAUCUGCUGUGGAAAGAAGAUAGAUCUAGGUGAUGGUUAAGUCUAAGACAAAGGAGGAGUAAAAUCAUCAAGGAAAGCAGGAGAGAGGGAAGGAAGUGGAAAGCAGACAAAAAAAAAAAAAAAACAACAGCAGCUGUAGAAGCCUGAGAAGAUGAGAGAGUCAAGUCCUUAGAGGGACUGAAAGCAGAGACAUAACGGCACAAAACGAGAUGGGAAAGUGACGGAGCAAUACAUGAGUCUGUAAUGAGUGGGAUUUAGGUGGGCAGCAGCACUUGGUUAUUUACAAGUUCAGGAUCCUGUUUAUAAAGCAAGGAAAGAUUGCUAUCUGUCUCCAGCACUAUGGCGAGAUAAUUAAUAGGAGCACUGCUGGAGACUGAUAGUGCAGGCGGCCGAUACCCAUGGCAGGAGCUCUCGUCAUCUAACUGCCACAGAAUUGUGAAGGUAAAGAAUCUGCAGAAAAGUGGAACAUUCAUUUUUACUAAAUAAAUGCAUUAUCUAUAGCACACAUUAUAGAGUUUUGUUGUUGUUGUUGUUAAUCUAACAUGUAACAGAAAUAAAAGAGAUUGUUUCUAAACCACUUUAAACUGUUCUGGCAACUACCUUAGACCCUUCUGGCGAAGCAUCUCUAAAGAAGACCAUUGACAGCCACUAUCAGUAGCAGCAGCAGUGGGCAUGUGUCCUCGCUUGCCACCCCACAAAAAAGCAAACAAACAAAAAUCAUUCCCAGAUGAAAACUACGAAGUUGUAAACUAUAAAAGGGAAGAUUAAACAUUGUCUGUGUGUUCUCUAACAUCCAUUUGAUUUAUAGUUUUUUUUUUUUUCCUUUUUUGACAGAAGUUGGUCUUAUCCCAUUUUCUCAGCAUAAAAAUAACAAUUCUCUUAUAAGGCAGUUUUACGCAGCAUUAACAGAGCAAAGAGUAAACUUUGUUUGCUUUAAUAAUACUAAAUUGUAACAUCAUAUUUUCUAUUUGCAAAUGUUUGUCCAUCUACUGGAUGUAUAAAUCUUCGUAGUGACAAAAGUAUGUUUGAUUUAUUUAUAAUGGUCAAUGGAAGGGCUAUGAAAUUGUGUAUUAAGCUACUAUGAGAAAAGCGGCAUGGCUCAAAUAAUCAUCUUUAUAUUCAGCAUGCUUCAGGCAAUCACUAAUUUUUGAGAAAUCUAUUGUUCUCUAGUUUUUCCCAAGUACUCAUUUCCAACCUCAUUCCAUCAGGUAUUCUCUGAGGAGUCUUAUCCCUAUGACUUGCUCAAAGCAGAUAUUGUCUAUUUUUUUUGUCUAUUAAGAAAAUAACAAAAUUUUAAAACCAAAUAAGAUCUUGGCUAAGAUACCAUAUGAAAGGUGAAUACACACAGACCCAAACAAGUCCAAAAGAUUGCCUGUCAUAAAGUUAAAACUGGAAUCAGAACUGGCAACCUGGACUUCUGACUUGUGAUUCAGGAUAUAUUUCAC
rnacentral:lncRNA from 1 species